GGCAUGCGCUGGGGGAGUGGGGGAAAGGAUAUGGGUUACAGACCAGCUUGAGGCACCAGCUGCGCGGCCGGGUGGUUUGCUUGAGGCAGAAGAAGACGGCGGGCGCCAGUGCCGGCCUUCUCUGUCUAAUCUACACAUGGUUAUAAGAAAAAGUAGGCCAAAUUCCUCCCUCAUUUACUCCGGAUAUACUCCCUGUGACAUCCUGGACUACACUGAGGUUACUCUAGAGUUGCAUCAGACUGCAGAAUCUGGCCUGCCAGUGGAGGUUAGCAAUCAAUACUGAAUCUAGGCUACA